AUAUGGGUGAUGUUGAGAAAGGCAAGAAGAUUUUUAUUAUGAAGCGUUCCCAGUGCCACAUUGUUGAAAAGGGAGGCAAGCAUAAGACUGGGCCAAAUCUCCAUGGUCUCUUCGGGCGGAAGACAGGUCAGGCCCCUGGACACUCUUACAUAGCCACCAUUAAGAACAAAGACAUCAUCUGGGGAGAGGAUACACUGAUGGAGUAUUUGGAGAAUCCCAAGAAGUACAUCCCUGGAACAAAAAUGAUCUUUGUCGGCAUUAAGAAGGGAAGAAAGGGCAGACUUGAUAGCUUAUCUCAAAAAAGCUACUAA
rnacentral:lncRNA from 1 species